CUUCCAGGUGUGACCCCCCCCCCGGCCCGAUCCCGCUCGUUCCGUGCCUUGCCCACACUCGCAGCGCAGGGCCGGCUCGGUGCACGCAGACCGCUGGGCUUUUCCUUAUUAUUUUACCUUUUUUUUUUUUUUUCCCCUCCUUCAUCUUUUUAAAUUUUUCUUAAUUUUUUUUCCCCACCUCCCCUCCCACUCCUCCCACCCCCAUUUACUCCGCAUCGCCAUCACCACCCCCGAAGAAAACCGAGCGAACCCGAAGCUGCACCCUACGCCCACCCACCAACCCAGCCUCGCAUCGCAGAGGAAAUCCUCACCGUCACCCGGCUCUAUCACCGGGGGUUGGGGGGGAGGAGGAGAGCAGCCCUCCCCUCGCACCCCGGCCCUCAGCACCAUGAUGUUUCGAGACCAGGUCGGCGUUCUGGCCGGCUGGUUCAAGGGCUGGAACGAGUGCGAGCAGACUGUUGCGCUGCUCUCGCUGCUCAAACGCGUGAGCCGGACCCAGGCGCGCUUCCUGCAGCUCUGCCUGGAGCACUCGCUGGCAGACUGCACCGAGCUGCACGUCCUCGAAGGGGAGGCCAACAACCCCGGAAUCAUUAACCAAUGGCAACAGGAAUCCAAGGAUAAAGUGAUAUCCCUAUUGUUAACCCACCUGCCUUUACUGAAGCCCGGAAACAUCGAAGCGAAAGUCGAAUACAUGAAACUCUUGCCUAAAAUCCUUGCCCACUCGAUCGAACACAACCAACACAUCGAGGAGAGCAGGCAGCUGUUGUCCUACGCCUUGAUCCACCCGGCCACCUCACUGGAGGACCGCAGCGCUCUGGCCAUGUGGCUCAACCACCUGGAGGACCGCACGUCGGGGACCUUUGGCAGCCAGGGCAGGGGCCGUUCGGACUCUGUGGACUACGGGCAGACUCACUACUAUCACCAAAGACAGAACUCCGAUGAUAAACUCAACGGAUGGCAAAACUCUCGAGACUCGGGCAUAAGCGUCAGCGCUUCCAGCUGGCAGGACAAAAACCUGGCCUGCGAGAACGGCCAUCUGCCCCUCUACUCCUCCUCCUCCGUCCCCACCACCAUCAACACCAUCGGCACUAGCACAAGCACCAUUCUCUCAGGCCAGACACACCACAGCCCUUUGAAACGCUCUGUGUCCCUUACCCCACCCAUGAAUGUGCCAAACCAGCCUCUAGGACAUGGAUGGAUGUCUCAUGAGGACUUACGAGCUAGAGGACCCCAGUGCAUCCCUUCCGAUCAUGCCCCCCUGUCUCCACAAAGCAGUGUAGCCUCUUCGGGAAGUGGUGGGAGUGAACAUUUAGAAGAUCAGCCUUCCGCUCGUAACACAUUCCAGGAGGAAGGGAGUGGUAUGAAAGAUGUUCCAGCCUGGCUGAAGAGUCUCCGGCUGCACAAGUACGCCGCGCUCUUCUCACAGAUGACGUACGAGGAGAUGAUGGCCCUCACUGAAUGCCAGCUCGAGGCACAAAACGUUACCAAAGGCGCAAGACACAAAAUAGUCAUCAGCAUCCAAAAGCUAAAAGAAAGACAAAACCUGCUCAAAUCAUUAGAAAGGGACAUCCUGGAAGGUGGCAACCUGCGUGUCCCGCUGCAGGAACUACACCAAAUGAUCCUCACCCCCAUCAAAGCCUACUCUUCCCAAAUCUCCAGCCCGGAGGAGCACAGCCGGGACACGGACUCACAUCAUCCCCCCGCCCUGCUGGGCUCAGACAGCCAGGGCUCCGAUGGCAAGGACUCUGCAGCGGGGGGCAUGCAGCAGCAUCACCUGCCGGGCUGUGAGGGCGAGUCGGGGGGAGGCCCUUUGCCUGAAGGUGACCUGCCUGGACAGUUCACAAGGGUGAUGGGGAAAGUGUGCACACAACUUUUAGUUUCCCGACCAGAUGAAGAGAAUAUAAGCUCCUAUUUACAGCUUAUAGACAAAUGUCUAAUACAUGAGGCGUUUACAGAGAUACAGAAGAAACGGCUGUUGUCAUGGAAACAGCAGGUGCAAAAACUCUUUAGGUCUUUCCCUCGGAAAUCCCUCCUGGAGCUGUCAGGCUAUCGGCAGCAGCGGAGCCGAGGCUUUGGGCAGUCCAACUCCUUACCUACAGCCGGAUCCGCCGGGGCAGGGCUGGGCAGACGAAACCCCCGCCAGUUCCAGAUCCCCUCCCGCAACCUCCCCACUGCCCGCCUGGGGCUGCUGGGUCCCAGUGGGCUGCUGGGCACCCCACAGCGCAGCCCUGCCACCAGCCCUGCCAUCCUCAAGCAAGGCAGACAGAAUCUCUGGUUUGCCAACCCUGGGGGCAGCAACAGCAUGCCCAGCAGGAGCCACAGCUCAGUGCAGAGGACGCGCUCGCUGCCGGUGCACACCUCCCCGCAGACCAUGCUGAUGUUCCAGCAGCCAGAGUUCCAGGUGCCGGUGACUGAACCUGACAUCAACAACAGGCUGGAGUCCCUGUGCCUGAGCAUGACGGAGCACGCGCUCAGCGGUGAGCACUCCCUCCUCCUUGGGCUCUUCCAGCACGUCCAGGCGGCCUCAGCCAAGCCCCCCAGGGGCUGCCCCACGCCCCCCAAGGGCUGGGACCAGCUUUGGCUGUGAGAGAUGAGACAGGGUGGGAUGGUUGCUGCUCCCACGGAGAGGUCUCAGCCAGCUCUGUCGGGACAGAGGGGUAAAACUAAACGCAGGGAUUGCGCCCGGCGCUGGCAAAGCCUGUGCUUUUAGCCACUAGUUAGCUUGCUAAUCAUCAUUAGUGUUAGCUCACUAGUCUGCUGUUAAUUAAUGACAAAGCCACCCAAGCUCUCGAAUGGUGCACAGGCUUCAGAGUGCUCUACCCCUCUGCCAGCCCAAGCCCUGCUUUGCUGGGGGACACGGGGACCCCCAGGGCUGCAGCCAUCCCUUUGGGGUCGCGCUGAUGCUGGCAGCCUGGGUGGGGACAAGGAGCAGGGAGGGAGGAGGAGGUCCAGGCUGCAAGCAGUGCAAGAGGGGAGCCCAGGGAGGCACCGGACACGCCGUGACGCAGCGGACCCGGAUGGCGUGGAGACGCCAGGAUGGGACGAGCCGAGCAGCCCGCGUCGCCCAGAGCCUCCUGAAUACACAGCCCCAAAAGCCACAGACUGUCGGAUGGUGGAGGAUGGGAACCCACGGGGAGGACAAGGCUCCCUGCAGCGAUGGCACUGCCCAGGGACAGGGACGUGGGAGCGAGGACUGGACGUGGCAGCAGGGUGCUGGCCGUGGGCACAAGGACACUGCUGUCACCGACGCGUUCCUGCGGCGUGCGCCCAGGCGAGGCUUAGCUGUGUUGUUCCUGUGCAGGACGGUGUCGACCGGACCUCCACCAUCUAGAGGAGGACAGCCUGAUGGCGGCGGUGCUGAUGGGAGAAGAACUGCUGCAGGUCCAGCGGAGAGGUCCAGGCACGGGAGCCUCAGUGACAGCUUGCAUCCUUUCUGUCUUUCUCUCUCUUCCUCUCUUUUCUCCUGUUUUAAUUUGGUGAACGUGUAGAUUGUCCUUGUGAACAUACCAUUAGACUUGGAAUUUGUGUUGUCCUUUCUUACAUCCGUGCUAAAAAACGGAAAGGGGGGAGGGGGGGAGGGAGGGAGAGGAGGGAUGGCAAAGAAAGAAACAACGCUGAGAAAAACAAACAGCAAAAAAAUGCCUGGGGUGGGUGGGGGGUGAGGCAGAAAAGUGCUGACUUUGUGGUUUCGCCAUGGGCGGCGAAUGUCACCUGUGUGUGACCAAAGCCCUGAAGGGAGGAUUUGCCAUAGGGGACCCCGCGGGUGCUGCCAGCUGGCCCGUCCUUGUCCUCAUCCCAUAGGGGCUGGGCUGUAGCCUAUGCAAAAAAAAAAAAGGCCCCUUGGGAUGGAUGGAACCGGUGGCUGAAUUGUAAAAACCAAAAUCAAAAAAAAAAAGAUUAAAAAAAAAGAAAAAGAAAAAGCAGAAACAAACCUGCCUUUCUGUUUUGCAAAGAGCACCCGGCACAGAGAUCCGUCCGUCGGUGCGGUGUUGCGGGGCGCCCGUCCUGCUGUUGGGUUGUGAAGGGCUGGGGAUGUCGGUGAGGGGCGAUGCAGUGAGUGAUGGGUGUCCGUGUCUCUGUCUUGUGUGUGUGGUAGAAGAAAGGUGCUGCAUCCUGGGUUUGCACAUCUGCCCAGCCUGCCCAAACCAUCACUGCAUCAUCACCACAUUCAUCGUGGCGUCGCUGAAUGGUUGGGUUGGAAGGGGUUGUAAAGACCUUCUGGUUCCACCCCUGCUGUGGGCUGGGUGCCCCCCAGCUCAGGCUGCCCAGGGCCCAACCAUGGCCUGAGCACCUCCAGGGAUGGGGCACCCACAGCUCUGGGCAGUGCCAGGGCCUCACCAUCCUCUAAGUAAAGAAUUUCCAACUAAAAGCCCAUUAAAAUGGGGUUUCCCCAGCCCUGCAAUGGGGUAAUCCUGGCCCCAAGAUGAGAGGACGUUCUGGAAGAGCAGAACCAACCAAAUGAGAGCGGGCACCAAAACUCAGCCCUGUUAUGGGGCACAAAAAGCAUCAGGAAGGGGACAUGAAUGAUGCUCACCCCUAAUGGACUUAGUGGAGGAAAUGAGUAACACCUAAAGAUGCUCAGAGCAGGAGGUGAAUGGUCGUGGUGCCCCCUGGGUGGGUUUUGCUGUAAGCACUGCAGUCGGUCCCUACUAAUAGAAGGGCGUACGAGCAAUGGGAUUCAGUCCCUGCUCAUAUAUGAGGCUGUAGGGUUCCCAACACUGGCUCAACCCACAGCACCAAUGGGCAGCUCCAGUUGAGGUGUGACCAGCAGUGCUGCUCUUCCAGGGGCUGAGCAGGGCUGGUUGUGCAGCUCUCGGCAGAUGCGCAAAUCCAUUGGCGAUGCAGCAUUUUUAAGUAGUUUCAUAUGCAUCUAUAUAUCUAUAUAUAUAUAUGUGUGUGUGUGUGUAUAUAUAUAGAUAUAUAUAGAAAAAGAAGUGCCAAAUGCAAUGUUUUACAUUUGCUGUUCCUUGGUUUGCUGUUGACCGGAAGGUGUUGAGGCGAUGUUUAUGUGGGGGAGCGGAGAAGGGAGAAGCAAAGUGGGAGUGCUAUGGGACAAGCAGGGCAGGGCAGCACGAGGAAAGCCCGAAAUCCUAUUUAUUCCUUUGCUGAAUAUAGAAACAGAGGUUAUCUGAUUGUUAAAGAGAGAUUAUUUUGGAUAUAUUACAUGUGAACGUGCUAUGGCUGGUAACCAUGAUGAUGUCUGUUAUUAACAACCGAAUCAUUUGGGUUCUUUGUGUUGGUUUAUUUGUUUGUUGUUUUCUUUUUCUCAAAGCUUGUUUCCCAUUGGCAGUGUAUGGGUUAAUGGCUCUUCCGUUGUGUUUGCUGUUGCUUGUUUUUAUAAGUAAGGAAAAGCGGCUUCGGUUUCCAUUUUGGAAGUCCCUCCUGGCUCUGUCGGAGCCCUGCGCUGAGUGCAGGUAACAGCAGAGCUCUGUUCAAAGAGACGGAUCGAAUCCUGGUAUUUAUAAGACACAACACAGGCAAAAAAAAAAAAGAAAAAAAAAAAGAAAAAAAAAAAAAGAAAAAAGAAUUAAAAAAAAAAACCAACAAAAAGAGUUGCAUGAAUAAGGCUGUGAAGUCAGAUAUUUAGUAAUAACGCGGCAGUGCCUUUCUUUUUUGUAUCCACCCAUUUCCCUCUCAUCCCCCCCCACCACGUGCAACUGUUCCCUACGCCCGCGGCCCCGGCAGCUCCUGGUGCUGCUGCCCCACAGCCUGAACCCACAGCCCCGCUGGGGCAGCCCUAUGGGGCCGCGACGCUGAGGAUAACCCCAUUUCUUUUGAGGUGUCGCCGUCCCGCUGGGGAUGAGCCCUUAGCCGAGCCAGGAGAGGGGCAACCCAAGGCUUCUCAGCUCAUCGUGAAGCCCGGCGUUGGGGAGGGGCUCAUCCCGGUGAGCCCAGCACGCUGUGAUCCCGCAUCGCAGGCUCCGGUCAGCACUCGGCGUUGAGGAAUUUGUGGUGUCACCUUCCUCGGUGGGUGGGUUUUUAUUUGGAUGUGCCUGAUGGAAAGUAGGUCCUGCAGACGUCGCAUUUUGCACACGCAGCUCCGAGAACACUAAAAGUUGAUUUUAUACCGAGUCAUCGAGAGUUUGCAAAAGUGAGUUUUAUUUUUUGUAUUCCUUUAUCUUUACUUAAAGGUGAAUGUGUAUUCCUCUGGGAGGAAUAGGAAGAAAAUAAAUAAAUAAAAAAAGAAGAAAAAAAAAAACCAAAAAAAAGGAAAAAAAAAACAAAAAAACAACCAACCAAACCCAACCAGGAAUGUUAAUAAUGUUAAACAGAAUACUUCCUCCCUUAUUAAUAUAUAACCCUCUGUAUUUAUGCCUAUUGUAAGCUGACUUCCAAGAGCUUUGACCUCUCUUCUGUUGCAUGCCGUUCCCGGGCAGCCCUUUAUUGUACAUGCAUGCCUUUAGUCCUGUUUUUUCUGUACAAAAUUAGUGCACAAAGAAAUAUUUUUGCCUAGUUCAUGUUGCCAAGCAAUGCCUAUUUUUUACAUUUUGUCAUAUAUGGAAAUAGCAUGUUUGUUACAUGUAAAAGCUUCCCGAUAUACAGAAAUACUAAUGUUUGGAGAUGCUGGUCUUUGCAAGUGUACAGUUUUCAAAUGUUGUUACCAGUGAAACACCCUCGUGAUUUCAACUUGCUCCAAUGUAUUUAUUACUCAUUUGCUCCCAUGUAACUAGGAGUCAUGGCUAUAUUUCAUAUCGACGUUAUAUUGAAAGUGAAGGGAGAUGAUUAAUACAAGGUUUUGUAACA